CUAACCCGUCCGCCCACCAUGGUUCGCUACCUCCCGGCUGCUUCCCUCCCACCCGCCUCUAGGCGGAGUCUCAGUGGCAGGCACGGCGCUGCGGGAUGCGCUCCCAUUGGUGCUCUGCGGCCGGUCCCGCCCGUCGCCCCCUUGGCCCCUUAGGCAGCCGAUCGGUCCGAUGCAGUUUCUGGAGAGGUGAGGCGGGAGUACGUCUCGUAGGCCGUGCGGAGGGCAGCCUCCCGGGGGCCGCGUGUUCACUGCCGCGGAGCGCGGCUGCAGAGCUGCGGGAGCCGGAUCGGGCGCUGAUAGCUGCCCGCCGUUACUCAGCACAACCGGCACCCAUCCCCCGCCGGCCGGGGCUCGAGCGGCGGCGGCUGGGGAAGCGUGGGGCCGCCGCCUCCCAGAGGUGCGCCAGGUGCAGAUCCGGAGGUUAA
rnacentral:lncRNA from 1 species